rnacentral:rRNA from 1 species
UACAGGGGGUGCAAACGUUGCUCGGAAUUAUUGGGCGUAAAGCGCGCGUAGGCGGCCACUUAAGUCGGAUGUGAAAGCCCCUGGCUCAACUGGGGAAGUGCACCCGAAACUGAAUGGCUUGAAUGCAAAAGAGGGUCGCGGAAUUCCCGGUGUAGAGGUGAAAUUCGUAGUAUCGGGAGGAACACCGUGGCGAAGGCGGCGACCUGGGUCGAUACUGACGCUGAGGCGCGAAAGCGUGGGGAGCAAACAGG